AUUGAGUGGCGGACGGGUGAGUAACGCGUGGGUAACCUGCCCUGUACAGGGGGAUAACAGUUAGAAAUGACUGCUAAUACCGCAUAAGCACACAGGGCCGCAUGGUCUGGUGUGAAAAACUCCGGUGGUGUAAGAUGGACCCGCGUCUGAUUAGGCAGUUGGUGGGGUAACGGCCCACCAAGCCGACGAUCAGUAGCCGACCUGAGAGGGUGACCGGCCACAUUGGGACUGAGACACGGCCCAAACUCCUACGGGAGGCAGCAUG
rnacentral:rRNA from 1 species